rnacentral:rRNA from 1 species
GACGAACGCUGGCGGCGUGCUUAACACAUGCAAGUCGAGCGGAGCAGCGAACGGGUGAGUAACGCGUGAGUAACUGCCCCCCUCUCUGGGAUAACAGUUGGCAACGGCUGCUACUACCAGAUCGUGGGGGAUGACUCGCGUCCUAUCAGCGUGGUGGUGGGGUAGUGGCCUACCAAGGCGACGAAGGGUAGACGGCCUGAGAGGGCGACCGGCCCCAUUGGGCGUAGAUACGGCGCAAACUCCGACGGGACGCAGCAGUGGGGAUUAUUGCACAAUGGGGGAAACACUGAUGCAGCAACGCCGCGUGCGGGAUGACGGCCUUCGGGUUGUAAACCGCUUUCAGCCAUGCCGCGGUAGUGGCAGAAGAAGCACCGGCUAACUCCGUGCCAGCAGCCGCGGUAAUAC